CAGGUUUGCCGACCUUACGGGCCCUUCUCCGCCAGCCCUGGCUGGGUCACCCCCACGACCCGGGACUUCCCCGCCGUUCCCUCCCGGGCUGCCUGCAGUGAGGUCCGCUCCUGAGGCCUCAGCCUCGCCGGGGGUAGGGCCCUCUCCCGCCGUCGCCGCAGCUCCUUUCCGUCCCGGGGCCUGGGGGGCACCGUCCCACGGGUGAGGGCCGCCUCCAGCGCCUGGUCCAGCCAUGCGAACGCCUGGAGCCCGCGAGCUGCAGCUGCGGCCCUGAAGGUGCCGCACAUCCUGCCGAGUGGGUGAAGCGUGGCAUUUUGGAAAACAAAUCGGGUGAUCCGCCCGCCUCGGCCUCCCAAAGUGCUGGGAUUACAGGCAUGAACCACGGUGCCCGGCUGACACAAGGAACUUUCUAUGAGGUCCUAGGAAUGAAGGAAAACAGGCAAUAAGGCAAGAAUCGCUGUCGAAGGAGUCUGCGCCACCUGCUCGCACAGCUCACUUGUGCCUUCUGAGCCUGCUCGAGCCCAGCGUACAUAUGCCAUCUCCACGUGAUUAGAGAUUGCUGCUGCACGUGCCCAAUCCCGUGGCGGGGCUGGAA
rnacentral:lncRNA from 1 species